rnacentral:lncRNA from 1 species
AAUUUCUGAAGUUCUAAAUCACUCUCAACUCUCAACUACUUAACGUCUCAACUCUCAACUACUUAACGUCUCAACUCUCUACAUCUCAGCCACCCAACACAACCAUACACGGUCGCAUCUCUGCCUACCAUUCAACCUUCACGUAAGUUCCAUUUUCCACAUUUAUCAUUGUUGAUGUUGUUUCAUUUUUUCCCUUUCCAUCAUUCAAUUUGAAGAUGGUUUCAAUGGGGUUCAUUUUACAGCCAUGAUUUAAUGGGGUUUCAACGGGGUUCACACUAUUUCAUUUAUAGCAUGUGUAGAAGAUCCAUUAACUAACCUUUUGAUUAAACAUAUUAAAACCUACACCUGCAAUUUCAUUCCUUUAUAGAUUAUGUUACAAAAUUUGCAAAUAUCAUUUUGAUAGGAUUGUUAUAUUUUUCUUCUCCAAUAUAGCCUUUAUUAUCAUACAUUGUUAUUUAACAAGUAUGUAAUACAGGACCAAAGUUUUACGUUUUAAGAAGUGAUUUAAACCAAAAUGUUCUAAUUUUUUUUAUAAACCGUGUUAUUAUAACUCAAAUUUGUGUUUUAUUACUAUUAAUGCUCCUCAAUAAUCAAUACUAUGCAGUUCUAAACAUCUCAACCCCAUAUAAUAUUAACUCAUUUAUUGUAGGUGUCGGCAAAAAAUUGUUAGCUGGUGUUUGGUAAGCUUGGGAAUGAAUUAAUAAAUAAACACAAGCAUGACACAGUUGAAUACUAAAAAGUUCUAGAUAGUUCAGAUUUAUUUAUUAUUUAUUUGAAACAAAAAAGUAGAGCAUGUCAAAUAUAGAAUUAUAAUCCUCUCAAAUGUCUUCAUCCAAAAUUUGGUGGAUAUUUUUCUUGUCUUAUAUCACCCAUUGAUAGUUCUUUUCGUGAUUCAUGAUCCCUGAUUCCCUUUCUCCUUUGUUGUAGUUAUGAAUUUCUUUAUUUUCCUUUUGUAUUAAAAAUAAUUGACUUCCGUUAUUAUUCAUUUGUUUCUUAAUCUUUGCAGAUUUGGAGAGUGAACUUUUUAUUGUAGAAUAUGAUAGUGAAGAAGAUAAUGAUGAUGAUGAGCAAUAUUUUAUUGAAAGUGAAGAAAUAAAACUUUCUCAUGGGGGUUUAGAAUCAAUUGUUCAACAAAAAAUCAAUGUUGAUUUUGUUGAAUAUGCUGUUUUCUACUUUCUAAUGCUUUGUCAUUACUAUGAAUUUAAUAUUUUAUCUAAAGUGUAACGAUUUAAUAUUUUGACAGUUGUAUUAUUUAUGAUUUAGUAAUUAAGGACCUUUUAAAGUAUUUUAGUAGAAGAUGUAGCAAAAAAG